rnacentral:lncRNA from 9 species
ACUCGGUGGCGGAGCGCACCGACUGCCGCCAGGAUGAGGAGGCUGCAGGUAGGGAAGAGCACGCAGCUGGGAUCCAGGGGGAGAGGGUUCCUGGGAGCAGCUGGGUUCCACCUGCUGCCGGGAGAGGGCGGAAGGGGGCUAGGACUUGGGUGGGUGGCCUACUGAGCGGAACUCCGCUGUGGUGUUUUCCCCUCUGAAGUUGCUAAGCCGAAGACGACUUGGGUCCCUGGUCUUUGUUGUGCUGUGUUUGGAUUCGUGUCUCCUUCCUUUGAGAGGGAGAAUGGCUUUUCCCUCCCGAAGCGGCUCCUUCCAGCUCUUGUCUCUGGCCAUGGUGCCAGCUUGCUUUGUGGGUCGCACCCUGAGGGUCCUGUGCACAAGAGCUGUUGACUUAGUUUCCUUUGUUGCCCUUGAGGGCCCUGGUGUGGUGGGACGCAACCCUCUCCUAGGCCCUUGACCCUGGAGACCAAGUUUGCCUGGUGAGUGUCAGGUGGCGGGUGAGAAGGCAGGUCUCUCCCUCUGCACGUUUGGGAUUUCUGGCCUCCCUGUCCUGGUGUGUCCUGGCGGUGUGUCCUGAGGGAAGGGGCGUUCCCAGAGUUGGAUGCCCAGACCUGGGACGUGAGGCGCAGAGAGAUCUACGUCCCCUUCCCUGGCAUUUUUUUCUUCUACAGGGGAUGUGAGGAGUUCCCUAGUGUCCUAUAGGUUAAGGGUCCAGUGUUGGAUCCCUGCUGUGGUGCAGAUUCAAGCCCUGGGCUGGGAACUUCAGCAUGCCCUGGGAGUGGUGAAAAUCAGUCAGUCGAUCAGUCAGUGGGAUUGACCUCAGACCAUUCUGCAUGGUCAUUAUCUUGGUUGUCUCCGCUCCCAAGAGGCAUUUUCACACAAACCCUGUGUGGGGAGGUAACGGUUGGAAGUGCACCCCAAAGAGCAAGAUCUCUCUAAGUAGAACUUGGAUGCUGGAGGCUCUGCUGGGCAGGUGGGGAUUGUGGGCAUUGAGGGCUUGGCCUGGGAGUCAGCUGUUGGUCAUUUCCCUGUGGUCUUCUGCAAUCAGUAUAUCACUCGUUCUCUCUGUUGUCAUGUAUUUUCCAGACUGUUGCUUUGGGAGCAAAGGAUCGUGCUUCAAAAGUCUGAGGACAAGUUUGUCCUCUGCGAGCUUGGCUAGAAUAAUUCCCCGGUGGCCACACAACAGGGUGCACCUUGCCACUGAGCCAGAUGAAGGAACUCACGCCGACGAUGUUGUGGAGGCCGGUGGGAGUGAGAAGACUGAGGCAAAGCCCCGGGCUGGGGGACAUGAGGACGAGGCGGCCCCAGUACCUGAGGUGGAGGUGGAGGAGGAGGCGGGCCAGCCCCGUGAAAAUGGCCAGGAGGAGUCCUUAGCCAUCGCCUGGGCUGAGCCGGAAGACGAGCCUGGCCCCAAGGUGGACGGGGCGGACGAUGAAAUCUCUUGGAGCUUGGAGAGUGUGUGUGAGAGCGACCUCGCUGACAGCAACCUCGCAGAAAGUGAUCGAGGUAAGAACAGCUCUCAGGUAGGAGCCAGUGGGAGAGGGUUCCCGGGACACUUGGUUAGGCCUGCUGCUUGGAGGGUGGGGCGGGUGAGUGUGCAAUUGCAAAAGAGAAAGAAAUUGGUGUAAAGAUGUUCGUCGCCUAUGUUCCUAAGGAGGGGGAGCAGGUAUGAGAUGCCCGAAUGUUGGCAUCUGUGCUCACGUUGUGUUGGCGGGCCUCAGUCCCUGGAGCAGAGGGAAGGCCUGGGCACCUGGAGGAAAAACCCGGGUGAUGCUGUGUGACCCGCCGUCACCUCGGGGAAGCCGGGGAAACGGGAGGGCCACUCCUUCUCACGCCUCGCUUCCCCGCGGUGUGUUUCUACAGACUCGGUGGCGGAGCGCACCGACUGCCGCCAGGAUGAGGAGGCUGCAGGUAGGGAAGAGCACGCAGCUGGGAUCCAGGGGGAGAGGGUUCCUGGGAGCAGCUGGGUUCCACCUGCUGCCGGGAGAGGGCGGAAGGGGCUAGGACUUGGGUGGGUGGCCUACUGAGCGGAACUCCGCUGUGGUGUUUUCCCCUCUGAAGUUGCUAAGCCGAAGACGACUUGGGUCCCUGGUCUUUGUUGUGCUGUGUUUGGAUUCGUGUCUCCUUCCUUUGAGAGGGAGAAUGGCUUUUCCCUCCCGAAGCGGCUCCUUCCAGCUCUUGUCUCUGGCCAUGGUGCCAGCUUGCUUUGUGGGUCGCACCCUGAGGGUCCUGUGCACAAGAGCUGUUGACUUAGUUUCCUUUGUUGCCCUUGAGGGCCCUGGUGUGGUGGGACGCAACCCUCUCCUAGCCCUUGACCCUGGAGACCAAGUUUGCCUGGUGAGUGUCAGGUGGCGGGUGAGAAGGCAGGUCUCUCCCUCUGCACGUUUGGGAUUUCUGGCCUCCCUGUCCUGGUGUGUCCUGGCGGUGUGUCCUGAGGGAAGGGGCGUUCCCAGAGUUGGAUGAGUUGAAGGAGACGGCCUUGGAGUAGGCGUGGUUAACGAAUCCGACCUGGAACCAUGAGAUUGCGGGUUCGAUCCCUGGCCUCCUCGCUCAGUGGGUUAAGGAUCCGGUGAUGCCGUGAGCUGUGGUGUAGGUGGCAGAUGGGGCUGGGAUCCUGCCUUGCUGUGGCUCUGGCGUAAGCCGGCAGCUACAGCGCCGAUGAGACCCUAGCCUGGGAACCUCCAUAUGCCAUGGGUGUGGCCCUAAGGAAGCGACAAGGAUGACAAGAAAAAAAAAUGGUGAAAUCAGGCACCACAGCAACAGAGAUAGCGUGCAGUUCAACACAUAGGCGGCAAGUAGACUAGGCAGACUGUCAGAGCUGGAACGGAGAGAUGGCUAAGACCUGGCAGCAGGGCUGAAGGGGGAGUCAGUCAUUCCUGCAUGGGUGCAGAGGUCCUGUGAGUCACGACGAGAAAGGUUGAGAAAGGUUGUUAGGGACAGUGGUGCAAAGUACGUAGCAUCGGGAAGGCCUGCUCUCCCUCCCCUGCCUGAGUCUCCUAUUGCCAAAGUAUUCCAAAGAGAAGUAUUACGUAUCUAAGAAGAGAAAAGAGGUGACGCAUUGGGGAGGAUGGAGCGUGAACACAGGAGCACCCUGUGGGAAGAGUAGGGAAGCGGAAAUGAUCUCCUGCCAUUUCAGCAGAUGGAGGAAUGGGCCGGAGGUGAAAAUGGGCAGGAGGACUCGGGAGGCUCUCUGGUGGCAGCAGAGCCGGCAUGCUCGUGUUGGCCAUUUCUCAGCUGGGGAAUCCGCCACGGAGAGGUUCCCUUAGCAAGAGAGGCAGAGGCUCCCUUUCUCAGGUCUUUCAGGGUGCUGUCUGCCUUCCUUCGAGACGUUUCCCCAGGAGGAUGGGCCAAGAGGAGCUCCGUCCGUGCCUCAUCCCGCCCCCGCCCCCAGCCCCAGCCCUCGACUCCCAGC